GCGGCGGCUCAGCCCUGCGGGGGCGUCGCAGGGCGCCUCGGGUAAAGCUGGGGCUUCUCCUAAUUUAAUUUUGGUUUUAUUUUUACUUUUGCAGCGUGCGUAUAAUGUGUGAGUUACAGAGCUAUUAUUAUCUAAAGUCAGAGCCAAUCAUAAGCAAGCAGCUGAGCCUGACUGCAGUUGACUGAGAACAGAAACACAGAGGCUAGAUUUACCUGGUCCAUGUCUACAGAGUGUGCAAAGCCUUAUGCAAAACAAAAGUUGUCUAUUGCAGCCCAAGCAAGAGAAAGUCAGAUAAUAAGCAGAAGGAUUAUGCCACAUCUGGAUGUAUUGCCUUCCAUGACAAAGGAGGUGUUUUCCUGUGCUUUCACCACUCAUAUUGCUACAUCAUGUGUAAAAAAUGUAGCAUUUCAGAGGCCAUCAUGCUUGUUUCUCUCCCAAGGGAUCAAGACCAACAUGGACUGUGAAGAGCAGUGGAGUUGAGACUGUGUCACUCAGCUGAAAGCAAGGUUGUUUAGAGAAGAUGGAGCGGGCAGUUGAACUGUAAUCACCCUGAACAGAAAAGGUCUGAAGACAGCUGCUGUGGUCUUAUGAAGAAGAGGCUAGUUGCAUGGAGUUCAUGUUUGCAAUAAGUUGAAAUGAUUGACUUUCCUUUUCUAAGUUUAUUUUACAAGAAGCUACUAGGUUGGCUAGGAAUCUGUUUUAGCAGCUGAAAUAUAGGAAACAAAGACACAUUUAGAACUUCUGGAAAAUCCAUAAAUUAUCUGGACCAAAUACUUUAGUAGUUGACCAUUUCUAAAGAAAUAGAGAUAGCAUAAACAGUCCUCAGAAGGCUUGUUUCCAAAGCAGACAAUUGUAAAUGGAUUGGGGAUUUGUAUGCCUAAACAAAGAAGCAAGAACAAUGACUCUGUAUUUCCUGUAGUAAAUAUGUUCUAUUGGUCUCAUAAGUAGAGAUUAUGAGUUCUAAUAUUGAGAGAUGGAGUAAAUCUUUGCUUUAUAUUACAACAGUUUUUGGAUUGAACAUAUUCUCAGUAGGCUUUGAUAUUCCCAUCCUGCAGUUAAGUAAGUUUUAAAUGAUACGACCUUAUAUAUGAAUGUAUAGAUUCUAAUGUAUUGUGUGAAGAACAUACAGUAGAGACUGAGUACAAAGAUUAAUUGAAGUGAGAUAAGCAGGCCUUUUAUAUAAGAAAUAUUUUCAAGAAACAUCUGAAACAGGGCAGUUUGUAACAGCCAUAGUCUUCUUCAUGUUUUAUUAUGAUAACAGUAAACAUUCUGUUUUGUCAAUGCUAAUGAUCCUUAACUUUGGCUUGGGAUAUCCAAAUCACCUCUUGGUCUUUAAUUUCAAGCAAAAAUAAACAUGUCUUUGCAAGGCAUUGUUUUGGCCUUAAAGAAAAUAGUAUUUUGGUUACAGAGUCAUAUUUUUAUAGAUUUGGAAAGUGUAUGGCAAGCAUGUGGUGUUUAUCAGUUACUGUAGGAAGAUAUGUGAAGGAGGGCAAAGUCUGUGUGAGUCUUACUUAUUUCUUUCAAAUAUUCCCUCUUCAGUAGCUGAGAAGAUUAAUACCAUUAAUGUUCACAACUUUUGGUUGUUAAGAUGAGAAAGUAUUAUUAACUUAAAAUGUUCCUUUAUGAAAAUUUUUGGGUUCCAAGAAAUGCAAUUAGACAAAUAAAUUUGAAUGUGUUUAAUAAGCAUACAAUGAUUCAAUAUUUAGACAGCUUGUUUUUGCUUUAGUUUUGGACUUGACUUUUUCAAAGUUUAGCUAAAUCUAGCAGAAUCAACUAAAAAAAAACAACAUAACAAAACAAACAAACAAACAAAAAAUCCAACAUUGGCUAGAGACUAUCAGUUUGCACAGGUGCAAAUGGGUUUGAUCAUAUGUUAAUUUAUCGAGAGCUGAGGGCACAACUCCAAACUGCAAAACCAGAUGCUCUGCUUUUUUCUCUAUGUGAGAGAGCUGGAAAAGAGAAAGACUGAAAACCCAUGAAUCAUGGGAGGAUUCUGUUUUUAUGAUCUGGAGUUUAAAGCAAUCAUAAAAUUUGAGAAACUGGAGAUAGUUUCAAAUAUAUGGAGGCCAGCACUCCUUAAAAAAUAAAAAUCCCUGGUUUAUCUAUGCAGUUUAUCUACUAUGGAGGCUCUUGAACCUUUUCUUAUUAUUAUUUCUGGUUUUCUUCCUAUUCUGUAUAAUUCCAGCAAGAGAGAUUCCCUCAAGCAAAAUUGCUUUCCAUUGUCAUCCCUCCCUUUCCUUGAUCUCUGGUGGCUCUUGAAUCUAUUAUGGCACUCUGUAUGAAACAAGCUUAUGUCAAUUCACAUUCUUUCAUCUCCUUUUUUAAUUAAAUUCACUUGUUUUUU